UCCACCCUACCGGCUGCCGCCGCCGCUCCUGCCGCCGCCUCCUCGGGCUGCAGCCCCGGCCGCCUCGCAAGGCUGACCAUUUGGUAUUGGGUAUUCAGUUGGUGUGAUCUAUCCCAGGUUGAAGACCGUCAGCAUUCCCAUUCAGCAUUUCUCAGUUGCCUGUAACUGUGUGAGGCUGAGUCGACAUUAGCAGUGUGUGCCAUGGUGCAGGUGUGGAGGCCAGAGGCCACCUGUGGGAACCAGUUCUAUACUUCCAACAUGUGGGUCCUGGAGAUGGAACGCAGCUCAUCAGGUUUGGUGUCAUGUUAUAGAAAGAGAGAAAAUGUAGGUCACAGUCUGUCUUCACAGUCCUACUUGGAAGCACUGGAAGACACAGAGGAAGAAAUAAUGGGCUGUCUUCGUAUAAUAUGAACAGGAUUGUGCUGCUCUUCCUGAAGAAACAUGGCCUUCAGCACAUCUGUUUUUUAGGGUGACCUCAAGAUGUUCAGUAAUGUGAAGAUGCACAAUUCAUCCACAACCCCGGGGAAAAUGAAGAAGGGCAAGAAGCGCUCUUCUGCUUGAGUGACAUAAGAAGGAAGAGGGCACAAAGACCCUCACUCACAUUUGUCUAGAAGCUGCCAAACAAGGACUAUAGCUAUGCCCUCUGGUACAACCCACAAGACCAAGGAGAGCAAGAAGGAGCGCUUGGUGGUCAUCUGGGUUCCUGAGAGUGUCCCUCUUAAGAGCAAAAUGAUCUAUGCUAGUUCCAAGGAUGUCGCUUGAAGAAGUUGACAGGGAUCAGCAUGAAUUACAAGCAAGCUAGCAGGAGGUCAAGAACCAAACCACUGUAAUCUCCCUGGAAUGCAAGCCUUUGUGAUCAGCCUCCAAGACCUGCCUUCCUUCUGGGAGCUGCUCUCCAGUCCCUGCCAGGCAGGAGGAGCCUGGAGGGUCCCAUCAGGAUAAGGACAGUGUCUUUACCCCCUUAAUUGGACAGUCCUUCAGCCCCUGGACUUUUCUCCUACUUCUAUUUAUCUGACAGUCUGGCCUUCGCCAACCUCUUGGGUUGAAGCAAAACAAGUUUGUGCCUUUCACCCACACAGUUGGAUGAAGAAGCUGUUGUUUUUGUUGUAUGUGGGAGAAUUUGGAGGGCAGAAAGGGAAGGGAGAAAUGGUGUGAUCGUAUAAUCUCAAAAAUAAAAAAAAAUAAAAAAUCAGGAAAAACAUCAAUGCAAGAAGCACUAAGAAGAAUUACAGAUCAGUACAUAAUUCAGAUACUUGACUCUCCUGGUGCAGUGCCUCACACCUGAG